GACGAACGCUGGCGGCGUGCUUAACACAUGCCAGUCGAACGGAAAGGCCCUGCUUGCAGGGUACUCGAGUGGCGAACGGGUGAGUAACACGUGGGUGAUCUGCCCUGCACUUCGGGAUAAGCCUGGGAAACUGGGUCUAAUACCGGAUAGGAGCCAUUUUUAGUGUGAUGGUUGGAAAGUUUUGUCGGUGUAGGAUGAGCUCGCGGCCUAUCAGCUUGUUGGUGGGGUAAUGGCCUACCAAGGCGGCGACGGGUAGCCGGCCUGAGAGGGUGGACGGCCACAUUGGGACUGAGAUACGGCCCAGACUCCUACGGGAGGCAGCAGUGGGGAAUAUUGCACAAUGGGCGCAAGCCUGAUGCAGCGACGCCGCGUGGGGGAUGACGGCCUUCGGGUUGUAAACUCCUUUCGCUAGGGACGAAGCUUUUUGUGACGGUACCUAGAUAAGAAGCACCGGCUAACUACGG
rnacentral:rRNA from 1 species